rnacentral:rRNA from 1 species
UACGUAGGUGGCAAGCGUUGUCCGGAAUUAUUGGGCGUAAAGCGCGCGCAGGCGGUCCUUUAAGUCUGAUGUGAAAGCCCACGGCUCAACCGUGGAGGUCAUUGGAAACUGGGGACUUGAGUGCAGAAGAGGAAAGCGGAAUUCCACGUGUAGCGGUGAAUGCGUAGAGAUGUGGAGGAACACCAGUGGCGAAGGCGGCUUUUGGUCUGUAACUGACGCUGAGGCGCGAAAGCGUGGGAGCAAACAGG